CUGUCAGUGGUGUUCACUAUGGACAUAAUUUUUUAAUAUGAAAAUCAGUGUGACUGAUAGGAUUUACGAUUUUCUCUUCUCCAGUGAAUUGCCUGCAGCUGCCUGUUUCCUGAUGGUACAUCCCUGUUCUGAAUUGGGUAAUAUUUUGUGUUACAGGGUAGAGUGAGAAUGCUCAGACUCUUUGUUAUUAGCGGGAGGGUAACUGGGAGUAGAGAACAGGGUUGAGGUUGAAGAUCAUCCAGUAAAAACUCUUCUGCCUUAGCAAAGAAUUACUUUUUUUGUAGGUAACUUUCAUGUAUUGCAAUCAAUCCCUUUUUGCUCCCCCUGCUACAAUAUAGGUUUUUUAAAAAUUUAUCUGCUUCAUAUCCACCAUGUCUGAGCUACAUUACAGACUAGCACAAUACCCCUGGAACAUAAUCAUAUAUGGGAAAUUUAAUUUGGCAUUCUAAACCAUCUAUUAAUUUCUUAAAAAUUUCUGGACAGUCCCUUCUUAUAAGAGGAAAUUAUAACAUAAAUGAGGUAAUUUCAGUUUUAUGUGACUAAUGCUGCUGCUGCUAAGUCACUUCAAUCGUGUCUGACUCUGUGUGACCCCAUAGACGGCAGCCCAUCAGGCUCCCCGAUCCCUGGGAUUUUCCAGGCAAGAACACUGGAGUGGGUUGCCAUUUCCUUCUCCAAAGCAUGAAAGUGAAAAGUGAAAGUGAAGUCGCUCAGUCGUGUCCGACUCUUAGCGACCCCAUGGACUGCAACCUACCAGGCUCCACUGUUCAUGGGAUUUUCCAGGCAAGAGUACUGGAGUGGGUUGCCAUUGUGUACUUGAAUAAAUCUGGGAGACUUGAAUAAAUUUGAGACACUGUAGCUCUUAAUUCACAACUGAUUUACAGAUCAAAUUAACAUCACAUGUGUUUCCAAAAAACAUCAGGAGACUAUUGAAAGUUGUUUUGGUUAGAUGCCUAGAAAAAAAAAAAAAAAAAAAAACUUAACAUCUUCUCUGAAGGAAUAGAUAUUUGUCCUUUUUCUCAAGUAACAUAAGUUUUUAAAGACAAGUGUACAUUUUAAUAUACAAAACCUACUAGUAAAGAUGACAACAUGAGAAAGAAGCUUCACGGUCAACUCAGAGCAAAAGAGGUCAUCUAAGAAAACGAUGUCAAAGUUUAUUUUUGGGGGCUCCAAAAUCACUGCAGAUGGUGAUUGCAGCCGUGAUAUUAAAAUAAAAAUAAUAAUAAUAGAAAAAUAAAAGAUGGUUAUUCAUUGGAAGGAAAGUUAUGACCAACCUAAAUAGCAUUUAAAAAAGCAG
ensembl:lncRNA